rnacentral:snoRNA from 1 species
CCCCUUUUGUGGCUCAUAAUUCUGAUGGACUGGGUUUUCACACCAUUGUCUGAGAUACGCCUCCCUCAAAUCUAGUUAUGAUAUUGGCAUAUUACCUAUCUGUUG